CAAUAGCGUAUAUUUAAGUUGUUGCAGUUAAAAAGCUCGUAGUUGGAUUUCUGCUGAUCGCUGUCGGUCUGCCGUCAGGUGUGUACGGGCAGUGUUUGGCAUCUAUUCGAGAUUGGGUGUCCACUUGAUUGUGUGCACUCGAUGUCGGAGCUAAUACUUUGAGAAAAUUAGAGUGUUCCACGCAGGCGCGUGCCUUGAAUACUGCAGCAUGGGAUAUUGGAAGGCCGAUUGAGCUUUCUUGUUGGUUCUCGGUUUGAUCGGAAUGAUUAAUAGGGAUAGUUGGGGGCAUUCGUAUUCAACUGUCAGAGGUGAAAUUCUUGGAUUUGUUGAAGACGGACUACUGCGAAAGCAUCUGCCAUGGAUGUUCUCAUUGA
rnacentral:rRNA from 1 species